rnacentral:rRNA from 1 species
UACGGGGGGGAGCAAGCGUUGUUCGGAUUUACUGGGCGUAAAGGGCGCGUAGGCGGCGCAACAAGUCACUUGUGAAAUCUCCGGGCUUAACCCGGAGCGGUCAAGUGAUACUGUCGUGCUAGAGUGCGGAAGGGGCUACUGGAAUUCUCGGUGUAGCGGUGAAAUGCGUAGAUAUCGAGAGGAACACCUGCGGCGAAGGCGCUCAUCUGGCCCAAUACUGACGCUGAAGCGCGAAAGCUAGGGGAGCAAACGGG